UACGUAGGGAGCAAGCGUUGUCCGGAUUCACUGGGUGUAAAGGGUGCGUAGGCGGGAAGGUAAGUCCGCGGUGAAAUCUCACAGCUCAACUGUGAAACUGCCGUUGAUACUGCUUUUCUUGAGUUCGGGAGAGGUUGAUGGAAUUCCAGGUGUAGCGGUGAAAUGCGUAGAUAUCUGGAAGAACACCAGUGGCGAAGGCGGUCAACUGGCCCGAUACUGACGCUGAGGCGCGAAAGCGUGGGGAGCAAACAGG
rnacentral:rRNA from 1 species